CAAAAGCUUGUUCAAAGACCUCAAAAGUUUGAAGUUGAGUGUAUUCAUAAAGAAAUGUUACAGAUCAAUAACGAUUAUGACAUUGUUGAAGCUGAUCUUCUUUUUUUCCCAAUUUGCGCUCAAGACCAUUGGUUCCUUCUCUGCGUUAAUUCACUACAAAAAGAGAUCAAUUUUUUCUCAUCUUCCAGUAUUCCUUGUGCUAAAGAUACAAAUUGUUUCAUAUCUAAUUUGGUGAAUUCCUUUUUCAUCAAUUAUUUAGUAGAACUCUUAUUAAUCUUCUAUGUUCUAACAGUUUCACAUAAAAACUUUUGUACUAAUAAAUUUUCAGGUUACAAAUUUCCAAACAAGUUGCAAAGAAUGUAAAAUAUUUGAUAGGGCAUUACUUCAGUAUGACAAGAAGAUCAUUGAUUGCCCUCAACAGUCUAAUAAUUUCGACUGUGGCCUCUAUGUGAUGAUGUUCAUUGAACAUUUUGAUGGCAUCUCUCUCAAGAAAUUCAAGCCAAGUGAUGUUGCUGAGUUUCGGAAGGUCGUUUCUUAUAAACUGAUGAACCAUGUAAACAAUGAAGGUGUAAUUCCAAAUAUGAAGGCUGAGAAGAUGUUUUUAAUAGACUGAUGUUCCAGAGUUCCCUGGAACCUGGUCUUAGUGUUUUUUGUACCAGAAUUGUUCUAAUUAUUACCACUUCACUGUGAUGUUCAAAUGUAACAUACAUGAUGUUCAGACGUACUGUGUUUGACAUUUUCUGUAACGAGCACUGAUGUUCUGACA